rnacentral:rRNA from 1 species
GACGAACGCUGGCGGCGUGCCUAAUACAUGCAAGUUGAGCGCUGAAGGUUGGUACUUGUACCAACUGGAUGAGCAGCGAACGGGUGAGUACCGCGUGGGGAAUCUGCCUUUGAGCGGGGGACAACAUUUGGAAACGAAUGCUAAUACCGCAUAAAAACUUUAAACACAAGUUUUAAGUUUGAAAGAUGCAAUUGCAUCACUCAAAGAUGAUCCCGCGUUGUAUUAGCUAGUUGGUGAGGUAAAGGCUCACCAAGGCGAUGAUACAUAGCCGACCUGAGAGGGUGAUCGGCCACAUUGGGACUGAGACACGGCCCAAACUCCUACGGGAGGCAGCAGUAGGGAAUCGUCGGCAAUGGACGAAAGUCGGACCGAGCAACGCCGCGUGAGUGAAGAAGGUUGUCGGAUCGUAAAACUCUGUUGGUAGAGAAGAACGUUGGUGAGAGUGGAAAGCUCAUCAAGUGACGGUAACUACCCAGAAAGGGACGGCUAACUACGUG